rnacentral:rRNA from 1 species
UUGAACGAGUGAAACCGGGUCAAGGAACUCGGCAUAAUGAUCCCGUAACUUCGGAAGAAGGGAUGCCGAAUUGGGUUGGCGACCUCGCGUCGCAGGCUCACUUCGGUCGCAGAUAAUCGACUCAAGCGACUGUUUAGCAAAAACACAGGUGAAUGCCAAGCCGCACAAGGCGCCGUAUAUUCACUGACUCCUGCCCGGUGCCGGAAGGUUAAGGGGAGAUGUUAGCCGCAAGGCGAAGCAUUGAGCCGAAGCCCCGGUAAACGGCGGCCGUAACAAUAACGGUCCUAAGGUAGCGAAAUUCCUUGUCGGGUAAGUUCCGACCUGCACGAGUGGAGUAACGACUUGAGUACUGUCUCGACCCGGUGCUCGGCGAAAUAGCAGUCUCGGUGAGGAUUCCGAGUCCCCGCAGCAGGACAAAAAGACCCCAUGCACCUUUACUGCAGCUUGUCAUUGGACGUCGCAUUAGACUGUGUAGCAUAGCUGGGAGACUAUGAGGCUCGGGCGCUAGCUCGGGCGGAGUCAUCAGUGAAAUACCAGCCUGGCUCAUGUAACGUCCUCACCACGCUCGAGCAAACCUCGGCUGGGACCGUGGCAGGUGGGCAGUUUGACUGGGGCGGUCGCCUCCGAAAGAGUAACGGAGGCGCGCGCAUGGUUCCCUCAUCGCGGACGAUAUUCGCGAUCUAGAGUGUAACGGCAUAAGGGAGCCUGACGGCGAGACCGACGGGUCGAGCCGCCACGAAAGUGGGCCGCAGUGAUCCGGUAGCCCGGUGUGGAUCGGCUAUCGCGCAACGGAUAAAAGGUACGCUGGGGAUAACAGGCUUAUCGCGCCCGAGAGUUCACAUCGACGGCGCGGUUUGGCACCUCGAUGUCGGCUUAUCACAUCCUGGGGCUGGAGAAGGUCCCAAGGGUCCGGCUGUUCGCCGGUUAAAGUGGUACAUGAGCUGGGUUCAGAACGUCGUGAGACAGUUCGGUCUGUAUCCGCUGUGGGCGUUGGAGAGUUGAGGGGCGCGGACUCUAGUACGAGAGGACCGAGUCGGACGAUCCGCUCGUGUCCCGGCUGUUUCGCCAGAAGCACCGCCGGGUAGCGAUGAUCGGUACAGAUAACCGCUGAAAGCAUCUAAGUGGGAAGCUGUCCCCAAGAUGAACUCUCCCUGGGAGCUUGACUCCCCUAAAGGGCCGUGGGAGACCACCACGUCGAUAGGUUGGAAGUGGAACGUCAGCAAUGACCUCCGAGCUAACCAAUCCUAAUCGCCCGUGCGGCUUGACUAC